UCCCUCGGGUGCCUCCCUGCCCCGCGGGCAGCCCCGCGCCGCCCUGUCUGGGAGCCGCUCGCAGCCGCGUGCCCGAGGCCGGACGCUGCUUCUGGGCGCUGCCCUGCCCCAGGCGAGGGAAAUCGGCCCGUGGCCCGCAGGGCUGCUCGGCUCCCGGCACUGGGAUCCCAGCUGGGGACGCUGGAACACCCGAGGGGAGCGACUCCGGAUGCGCUCGGAGCACCGCGUCCUCCGGACCUGGAGGUGGGACAAGGCUUUCGCUGUGGCAAAACCGGACCCAGCGCUCGCCUCUCCCCUUGCAGAUCUUCGUGCUGACGUGCACCUACCUGCCGGCCUCGCUGCUGAGGUGGGUCCCGACCCGGCCGGGCGCUGCGAAUCCCGGCAGCACGGUUUGGGGGUUCGGGGGGUGUCAGUGUGCAAUAGCUCUGCGGAGCCCGUGCACUCCCGGCACGAAAUUCCUCCGGGAACUGGGGGCCCCCGAGCGCCUCACGCUUGGGCCUUGCAGCCGGCAGCAAAGCGGAGACGUCCCCGAGCUGCCGCCGGGGAUAAGCGAUGCUCCCGGGGUGCAGCCAGACGUCACCCCCCAGCCACGUCUCUUCCAGCCUCGCGGGCAGCGGAUCGGUCCUGGUGGCGACCACCCGGGGCAGGCGCUGCUGCCGCAGCCAGCUCCGGCCCCUUUUCCUCCUGGCCCUGGCCGAUUCCCUGGCCGCGGUGGCGCUGCUCUGCACGGCUGCCAUCCAGCUCCUGCCAGCCCCGCUCUUCAUCCCUGCCUACGCCUUCUGCCCCUACGGACGCGCGCUGGCCACGGUAAGGGCCAACGCGGCCCCAUGGCACUGCUGCCCGGCUGCAACCGUGUCCUGGGGCUGCAGCGUGCCCGGAUGGCACUGCGAGCGAUGCAACCUCCCCCAGACACCCCCAUCCACCGGGAACAGCCCCUCGCAGGGCUGGGCUGCCCCUGGGGAAGUCCCGGCGUAGGGAAAUAUUUGUCCUGCUGAGAAACCACCCCUGUUCCCCUUUGCCRCGGUCCUGCGCACCAAGCUGCUCCCUUCUCCCCAGCGCCACGUUCCCUGUCGCAGCCGCGUCUGCCCCCCACGCCGUGUCUGCUUGUCCAUUUCUGCACCCCGGCAAACCCCCCCGCCACRUGCACCGGAGCGCAGCGGGGUCCAGCUCCUCCUGGUGCAAACGUGGCCCCGGCACGUCAGGGCCCUUCCCCGGGGCCGGCUGGGCGGCUCCAGCUGGCUGUGCCAUCCCCAGCGUGCGCCUCAACAUGAGCCAGCGCCAUCCUGCCCCGUGCCCUGUCUGUGCAAAGCGACCCUCACCAUGGU
rnacentral:lncRNA from 1 species